rnacentral:lncRNA from 1 species
UGGUCUCUGCCUUUCUAACAGCGCCUCGGUUCCCCUUGCCCGCCUCAGACCUGCUGGGUUCUCUAGGGACAAGGGGGACGGGGAACAGCCUAGCCAAAGGGUGGCGGGCGGUCCUCGGGGUAUUGGGGACGGUCAGCUGAGCGGCGAGGCUGGGGGUGGGGGGGGGGGCGGCGGCUGGGCCUCCCCCCCAGGCUCCGUAUGGACUGGGGAGGGAAAGCGGGGUGUUCUCCAGGGUCCUGACCUCUGCUCCCUGUUUCGCAGAGUGCCUGCGUGCUGUGCCCCCGGGUUAUGACGACCCCCAAUAAAGGAAACAAGGCCUUGAAGGUGAGCAGCGGGGUGGAUGGAGUCUCGAGGCAGGGGUGCCUCCAGGGUGGGCGGUCCCCCGCUCAGCCUUGACCCCGUGCACUGCCCUGCCCCCAGGUGAAGCGGGAGCCAGGCGAGAAUGGCACCAGCCUGACCGAUGAGGAGCUGGUGACCAUGUCGGUGCGGGAGCUGAACCAGCACCUGCGGGGCCUGUCCAAGGAGGAGAUCAUCCAGCUGAAGCAGCGCCGGCGCACGCUC